rnacentral:rRNA from 1 species
GCAAUGGACGGAAGUCUGACCGAGCAACGCCGCGUGAGUGAAGAAGGUUUUCGGAUCGUAAAGCUCUGUUGUAAGAGAAGAACGAGUGUGAGAGUGGAAAGUUCACACUGUGACGGUAUCUUACCAGAAAGGGACGGCUAACUACGUGCCAGCAGCCGCGGUAAUACGUAGGUCCCGAGCGUUGUCCGGAUUUAUUGGGCGUAAAGCGAGCGCAGGCGGUUAGAUAAGUCUGAAGUUAAAGGCUGUGGCUUAACCAUAGUACGCUUUGGAAACUGUUUAACUUGUGUGCAGAAGGGGAGAGUGGAAUUCCAUGUGUAGCGGUGAAAUGCGUAGAUAUAUGGAGGAACACCGGUGGCGAAAGCGGCUCUCUGGUCUGUAACUGACGCUGAGGCUCGAAAGCGUGGGGAGCAAAUAGGAUUAGAUACCCUGGUAGUCCACGCCGUAAACGAUGAGUGCUAGGUGUUGGGUCCUUUCCGGGACUCAGUGCCGUAGCUAACGCAUUAAGCACUCCGCCUGGGGAGUACGACCGCAAGGUUGAAACUCAAAGGAAUUGACGGGGGCCCGCACAAG